UCCUCCUUACAGAGGCAGUUUCGUCCGAGUCCCCGGCAUGACCCGCUGGUAACAGACAAUGAGGGUUGCGCUCGUUGCGGGACUUAACCCAACAUUUCACAACACGAGCUGACGACAGCCAUGCACCACCUGUGCUACACCCUCGAAGGCGACCGGCUUUCACCGGCUUGCAGUAGCAUGUCAAGCCCUGGUAAGGUUCUUCGCGUUGCAUCGAAUUAAGCCACAUGCUCCACCGCUUGUGCGGGCCCCCGCCAAUUCCUUUGAGUUUCAACCUUGCGGCCGUAGUCCCCAGGCGGUUCACUUAAUGCGUUAGCUGCGGCACCGAGGGUUACCCCCCGACACCUAGUGAACAUCGUUUAGGGCCAAGAAUAC
rnacentral:misc_RNA from 1 species